AAACAUACCUGGACGGGGUCAAUGGGUGAUCAUGAAGGCCCAUGGCCUAGGUUGGUGUCCUCCAUUGCACUUUGGAGGGGUGCCUGCCUAAGCUCGGCCCAAGUGGCCGAGCCUAAGUCAUAAUUUGUGGCAGCGGGGCCUGCAUUUUUUUUAUGAAUGUUGCAUUUUCCUG
rnacentral:snRNA from 1 species